AUCGACGCCGAACGCCGCAUGAGCCGAGCCAAGAGACUCGACCAAAACGGGAACGGACGUCGUCCGCACGAAGCGUAGAACGCUUUAUUUUCGGGGCAAAUAGAGGUCGAGGACCUCGUACCGCGUCGGUCUUCCGCAUCCGAGAGAUCGAGCAUAACGACAUGGGCCAACGACCGACGAGCGCCCGAGAGCACACGGAUCGUGGAACACGGCGAAUGCUUCGACGUCCACCCAACACCGCAGCCACAAGGGGCGCAGCACAAGGAGGAAAGGGACAUUCGGACCACCACAUGCCUUCUCGAUAGGUAUACAACACAGGAAACCAUCAUCGGUCAAGGCAAUCCGCAACUUGAGCCAACAAUUGAAGAGGCGUGCACGAGAU
rnacentral:misc_RNA from 1 species